AUGAAGACAUUUGUUCCUACUUUAUUCAUGUUCUUGUGGCUGCAUCUGGAUGGGGUGAGCCAAGGUGAACAGGUGGAGCAGCAUCCUUCCACCCUGAGAGUCCAGGAGGAAGCCAGCGCAGUCAUCAAUUGCACUUACACAGACAGUGCCUCGUUCUACUUCCCUUGGUAUAAGCAAGGACCUGGAGGGCAUCCUCAGCUCAUUAUUGACAUUCGUUCAACUGUGGAAAGAAAGCAGGAGCAAAGACUGAUCGUUUUACAGGAUAAGAAAACCAAACACUUCUCCCUGCACAUCACAGACACCCGGCCUGGAGACUCUGCCCUGUACUUCUGUGCUGCAAGUGCACACUGCUCCACAGGCACCUGCAGCCUGUCCUCAAACCUGCCACGGGGCCUGGAGCCCUGUCCACAUCCUGUGUCACAGGUCUUCCAGUACAUUUGCUAUUUGUUAGUUGGCAAGUGCCAACUGUAG